UACGGAAGGCAGCAGUGGGGAAUAUUGCACAAUGGGCGAAAGCCUGAUGCAGCUAUGCCGCGUGUAUGAAGAAGGCCUUAGGGUUGUAAAGUACUUUCAUCGGGGAGGAAAAAACAAAACUAAUAAUUUUAUUUCUUGACGUUACCCGAAAAAGAAGCACCGGCUAACUCCGUGCCAGCAGCCGCGGUAAUACGGAGGGUGCUAGCGUUAAUCAGAAUUACUGGGCGUAAAGAGCACGUAGGUGGUUUUUUUUAAAGUCAGAUGUGAAAUCCCUGGGCUUAACCUAGGAACUGCAUUUUGAAACUGAAAUACUAGAGUAUCGUAGAGGGAGGUAGAAUUCUAGGUGUAGCGGUGAAAUGCGUAGAUAUCUGGAGGAUACCUGUGGCGAAAGCGGCCUCCUAAACGAAUACUGACACUGAGGUGCGAAAGCGUGGGGAGCAAACAGGGAUUAGGAUACC
rnacentral:rRNA from 1 species